CCUACGGGAGGCAGCAGUGAGGAAUAUUGGUCAAUGGACGCAAGUCUGAACCAGCCAUGCCGCGUGCAGGAAGACGGCUCUCUGAGUUGUAAACUGCUUUUGUACGGGGGUAAACGCAGAUACGUGUAUCUGUCUGAAAGUAUCGUACGAAUAAGGAUCGGCUAACUCCGUGCCAGCAGCCGCGGUAAUACGGAGGAUUCAAGCGUUAUCCGGAUUUAUUGGGUUUAAAGGGUGCGUAGGCGGUCGGAUAAGUUAGAGGUGAAAGCCCGAGGCUCAACUUCGGAAUUGCCUUUGAUACUGUUCGGCUAGAGAGUAGUUGCGGUAGGCGGAAUGUAUGGUGUAGCGGUGAAAUGCUUAGAGAUCAUACAGAACACCGAUGGCGAAGGCAGCUUACCAAGCUAUUUCUGACGUUGAGGCACGAAAGCGUGGGGAGCAAACAGGAUUAGAUACCCUGGUAGUC
rnacentral:rRNA from 1 species